UACGUAGGGUGCAAGCGUUAAUCGGAAUUACUGGGCGUAAAGCGUGCGCAGGCGGUUAUAUAAGACAGAUGUGAAAUCCCCGGGCUCAACCUGGGAACUGCAUUUGUGACUGCAAGGCUAGAGUACGGCAGAGGGGGAUGGAAUUCCGCGUGUAGCAGUGAAAUGCGUAGAUAUGCGGAGGAACACCGAUGGCGAAGGCAAUCCCCUGGGCCUGUACUGACGCUCAUGCACGAAAGCGUGGGGAGCAAACAGG
rnacentral:rRNA from 1 species